rfam:Nicotiana attenuata strain TT scaffold02749, whole genome shotgun sequence.
UGAAGGCCUCUUGCUCAAAUGAGUAUUCCACAAUGUCACUCUCCAAAAAAUGUUUUAAAGUCUCUAGUUGACAUAUCUUGAGAUACUCAUUUGGGCAUGAAGUUUUUG